AGAGAGAGAAGCUAUAUUCUUUCAGUCAUGGAAUUAUCUACUUCAGAAUUAAUAAUAUUAAGUCAUUGAAGUAUAUUUCCAUACUAGAAAAUAAAAUUAGAAUAAUAGAAAUUCUAAUGUUUGACUCUGGUCCCUGUUGCUUUUCUAGUUUUUAAUCUGUUAGCUAUUUUAUGUGUUUGUCUUGUAAAAGUAAACUCUUCAGUACUUGUAGGCUAAGUGUUUUGGGACUACUGGGUUUCAACCUCAUACUCACAAUAAAAAAGAAAUAUAUGUGAAAACUCUAGGACUUCAUGCUUUGCCUACUGUCUGAAAUAUUUUACUUUAGGUGUAUUUAAAGUGUCUAAAAAUAAUUAUCUUCAGAAUAUGUACUCUUAUUAAACUUAGACUACCUAGCGUGUGGUCAAAUUGACAUUUCUUUCAUGUAGAUUUUUAGCUUCCAACAUCUUCAGAGUGUGUCUAAGGCCAUUUUUGGAAGAAAAAGUAGUUCAGAUACCAUAAUAUUCAGUCUUGUAAAGUGUCCGAUUCAUGUGGUUUUACUAAAGUGGUACAACCACAACCACUAUUUAAUUCUAAAAAAUAUUCAUCACCCUAAAAUGAAACCUCUUCUCAUUGGCACCUACCCUUCAAUGUCUUUCCCCCAAUUCCUGGCAACCACUAAUCCACUUUCUAUCUUUAUUGAUUUGCCUAUUCUGGGCAUUACAUAUAAAUAGGAUCAUAAUAUAUGGCCUUUUAUCUGGCUUCCUUCACUUAGCCCAAUGUUUCCAAGACUCAUCCUAAAUUCAUUUUAGGUAGUAAGAGUCUUAAUUUUGCAACACACUUCUUACCGUUUCAAGAAAUAUUCAAGCCAUUUCAACUGGUGAAAAGUUUGAUUUAUUGCAAUUCUGCAAUUUUUUUCCAAAGGUGAAAAGACAAAUGUAAGCCAUGUCCCUUCUAAACGAAGUGAGUUGGAGUUCUCAUCCUUCACUUUAUCUCUUUCCUUAAUUUGCUAGCUGUUUUGUGAGAUCUGUGAAAUAAAGGUGAUAUCUGGCCCUUGUCUGUCACAGGUGCCUGCCAGCAGCCAUUAUGGGCUGCAUAAAAACUACAUAAGAUCUUUUUAUCAUGUACUGUAAGGUUGGCAGUGCAGGUAAAACCUUUUUCUGUCAGCUAAUUCAUUGUUCUCACCUUAGAACACAAUUUUAAAAGGCCCAAGAGAAAUGGAAAAUGAUCUUAAUGUAGAUCUAACACUUUUAAGCAGAAGAAAAAUGAUGAACUGCUUUUACCUCCUUCAGAAAUUUAAUAGAUAAAUCAAUCUCUAAAUUUUAUAUAAAUGGUGGACUGCAUCAAAGAUAAAUCAAAGAGCCAGAUAAGAGCAAAGUAAGGUGCUUGAAAAUCUCUGCGAAGUUAUGAGUAGCCAUAUUUUAGCAUGCACAGCCAAUUUUCAGGGCUCUAAUUAAUGUUGAAUGUUCUAAAUCAUGCAAACCAAUACUAAUGACAGACAAGAAUGGAUAUCCAGAAAAGUACACAUGCUAAAAUAUAAUUGUACAGUUGUAUUACUAACCUAGUUCAUAUUAAUUUUUUUAAAUUGGAUACAGUGGCUGAGAAGAUAAAACUAUGAAGACCUUGAAAUGAAAAAUUCUCAAAGUCUCAAUUUAGAGUUAAUAGUGUAGGAAUUGUGCUGUUCACUUCAGUUUUUUAUUAGGAUUAAAUAGGAAGCCAACAGAGAAAGAUCUUACUUUGACAAUUGAUUAAUUUGAAUGUGGGGGCACUGAUUAUGAAUUUUAAUUUUUUUUAAUGUUUUAUUUAUUUUUGAGACAGGGAGAGACAGAGCAUAAACAGGGGAGGGUCAGAGAGAGGGAGACACAGAAUCUGAAACAGGCUCCAGGCUCUGAGCUGUCAGCACAGAGCCCGACACGGGGCUCGAACUCACGGACCGAGAGAUCAUGACCUGAGCCGAAGUCGGACGCUUAACCGACUGAGCCAUCCAGGCACCCCUCACUGAUUCUGAAUUUAAUCCUAGUCACUUAAAAGCGAUAUUACAUUUGCUGAAUAAAUAGCUGAGAUUCAAAAAUAGAAGGAAAAGCUGGGCAUAGUCACCAGACACCCUGCCCUUGUCAGAGAAAUCUUGGAAUUAUAGGUGAAAACUGACUUAAAUUCAUGUUAAUAUUCUAUGCUGCCUCUGACAUUUCCACAUUAGAACCCUGGGCCUUCUGUGUCCUAGCUGGGUAACUUUUAAUUAACUAAUGAUGUUUGCAGGGUCUCACAUUUCUCCUCUAUAAAAAGAUUGUUAGUAACAGCAUCUAUUGGAAAAUAGUGAAAACUGAAAGAUGGUUUAAGGGCCAGGUACUUUGCUGGGCGCAUCAUAGACUCUUGGCAUUAUAAUAAGGCUUCUAUUCACUCCCUCUUCAAAUUGGAUCCUCAUGUUAAUUUUUCCCACCUGAAUGUUUAAUCAAAUUUACUUAGUUUAAUUCAAUUUUUACUUUCUUACAUAUUCCAGCUGAUGUAGCUAAGCCUAGUAACGUGGAAAAAAGAUGAGGUAAAACCAGAGAACCACAAACACAUUGGAUUCUUAUUCCAUCAAUAGUACCUUUAGGGUAUGUUUCAAAAGUUCACAUCUUCAAGGGUUUUCAGGGUACUGAAGAAUAACAUCAAUUUUUAGGUAGACUAACAAAGUUGACUUUACAAAGUAUACUUGUUUGAAUCUGGAUUCACCAUUUUCUGUGACUCCUUUCCAAUUAUUAGCAUUAAUAAUUUUCAAGGUUAGUAUAAGCAAAGAAAUUCACAUUUUACUCAUUGCUUUCAGGUUCAGUAUCUUUAUGUCAUAAAGCCUGUAAGACACAUAGAAAAAGAGAUCAAUAACCUUUCCAAAGUCAUAAAAUUAAUGAAUAAAUAGAGCCAUAAAAAUAUAGUCUUAAGCAUUUCAUUUCCUAAAAUGACUUAUGUUAAGAAUUGGUAAAUAGUUCAAUGAAUCCAUAAAACUUACCAUCCAUGAGUUUGUAAUUUAGUUUUAAUUCAGCAGCCCUUUCAUUUUAUUUUCUUUAAUUCUUAUUUUGCAAAGGUUUGGCCAUUUGAUAUCUCCCUGGCAUCUGUGUAGGAGACCAUACUGAAGCAGAGAAACUUAAGCUAAGUAAAGGCUGUUUCGUUACAUUUUUAGUAUAGGGAGAUUGAAGAGUUUAAGUACAAUUAAAGCUGGGAAUUUUCUCUAAAUUGUUUUUAUUCUCGUACCAUUCGACCCGUUUGCAUCUAAUAUAUAGAUAAUAAUUUCCUAAUUUUGAGGUAUUUACAGGCUUCCACAGCAAAUGUCAUACAUGCCCUCAUACUUUCUGUUAGGAAGUAAUGGCUUGAAAAAAUAACCACUGAAUAAACACUAGGGUGAGAAAGUUUCUUAACAUACUAAACUGAAUCGUGCCACCUAAUAUUCCUAAGAAUUAGUAACUUUUAACAUGGGGAUAUAUCAUAAUCAUAUUUGAGAUUGAACAGUGAAGAUGGUAUUUUCUGCAAGGCUACAAUUAAAUCUCUUUUCUUUAAAUUAAAGUCACUCAUAUAUGAAUAUAUAUGAAUAUACAUGUGAAUAUAUAUGAAUAUACAUAUGGAUAUAUAUGAAUAUACAUAUGAAUAUUGAGUAUUUUUGUAUUCUUUGCAUAAGUAUCUAGUAGUGCAAUUGCUGGGUCAUAGGGUAAUUCUAUUUUUAACUUUUUGAGAAACCUCCUACUGUUUUCCAGAGUGUCUGCAUCAGUUUGCAUUCCCACCAACAGUGCAAGAUAAUUCCCCUUUCUCUGCAUACUCACCAACACUUGUUGUUUCCUGUGUUGUUAAUUUUAGCCAUUCUGACAGGUGUCAUGUGAUAUCUCAUUGUGGUUUUGAUUUGUAUUUCCUUGAUCAUGAGUGAUGUUGGGCAUCUUUCCAUGUGUCUGUUAGUCAUCUGAAUGUCUUCUUUGGAAAAAUGUCUGUUCAUAUCUUCUGCCCAUUUCUUCACUGGAUUAUUUGGUUUCAGGGUGUUGAGUUUGAUAAGUGCUUUAUAGAUUUUGAAUACCAAUCCUUUAUCAGAUAUGUCAUUUGAAAAUAUCUUCUCCCAUUCCCUAGGUUGUCUUUUAGUUUUGUUGAUUGUUUCCUUUGCUGUGCAGAAGCUUUUUAUCUUGAUGAAGUCCCAAUGGUUCAUUUUUGCUUUUGCUUCCCUUGCCUCUGAUGGGAACUUGUGAUGAGUACUGGGUGUUAUAUGUAAGUGAUGAAUCAUUAAAUUCUAUAUCUGAAACCAAUUUUGCCAUAUAUGUUAACUAGAAUUUAAAUAAAACUUGAAAUAAAAAAAUGAAAAUUACAUUGUGCUUAGAUCUCUAAUAUGUUGAAAUUUAUACAGGUUUUGAUUUUUUUUCUUUCAGGUUUUGAUUUUAUAAAGUAAACUCCUAAAACCAAAUACUUUAGCAUUCGUUGGUAGAUUUUUAGAAAACUACAUUUUUGUAGAAGUCUUAGAUUGAUUUUGAUUUUUGUAAAUUAGUACUUUAGAAUUGUCAUAUCCUUUCCAACACUGACACUAGAAAUCUCAAAGUCACCUUUUAACCUUCACAUUAAAGAAUGCACUAAAUUUGGGGUGCCUGGGUGGCUCAGUUGGUUAAGUGUCCGUCUUCAUCUCAGGUCAUGAUCUUGCCAUUCAUGGGUUCGAGCCCCACAUCAGGCUCUGUGCUGACAGCUGAGAACCUGCAGCCUGUUUCUGAUUCUGUGUCUCCCUCUCUCUCUGCCCCUACCCUGCUCAUACUCUGUCUCUCUCUGUCUCAAAAAUAAGUAAACAUUAAAAAUAAUGAUUUUUUAAAAGAAUUCACGAAAUUGUUUCAUCGUACUUCCUUGUUCCCACCCACCUCCAUUGCUCAUUUAAGAUUUCAUAAUCCCUUACCUAGUAGUGGUCUAAUUGUUCACUCAAAAUCCAAUCUCUUAGUUUGUUUAUAUUUCUUUAUAUGGUAUUUAUUGUCCUAAUACACAGUUUAGAUUAAGCCAUUCCUUUCACAACUGUUUAGUGAGUAUUAAAAAACAAACUCCUUGAUUUAUAUACAAGGCCUUCUGGACUAUGUCGCUAUACCUUUCAAUGCUUCUGAUUGUUAUACUCAAAUCUGUCUUUUUUAGUAUUUAUGACAUGCCAAAUUAUCUGUAAUCUUAACAGCACUGUGCUAAAUAAGUCUAGUUGAAGAUGAGUAUUAUGAGGGUCCGAAAAGAUGUCCCAGACCAAACAGCUAAUUAUAUGGCUGGAUUAGGAUGCUUACUUAGUUUAGCUUCUUCCAAAUAUCUAAAACUCAUCCCUUCUUUUCCCUCCUCUCUAGUCAAAACCUGUUAUUUUAUGAUGUUGAACCCAAAUCUCCUUAGUGAGAUUCUAGUUCCUUACCCAGAUAAAUAAUUCUAUCUUUUAUAAUCAACUGGAAUUAUUUAUACCUGUAGUAUAAAGAUAAUUUAGCCUCCUUUCUAUUAAAUUAGGUACUAGCUUCUAUAUUUUAUUUAAGACACCUUAAAUACAAAAACUGUAUCUUUGUCUUCUUUAUCCUUCUAUGUUUGUUUCCAUUCAUGAUCAGAAACAUAUUUUUUAUCCUUACAUAAUCUGAAUGGCAGGCAUAUUCAGUCUGUUGGUUGUAAUUCAAUUUAUUUGUUGUUGUUGUUGUUGUUUUUGCUAUUUGAUAAAAUAAAAAUUUAACUAUAACUUUCAAAUACAUUACUUACUGUAUUUUGGAUUCUUUGUAAUAAAACAGAUUGCCAAAGUUUGAGGCAAUAUUAGGACAAUAUCUGCUGAUUCUCAGAAUCCUAUUGAAUACUAAUACUGAUUACAUUUUAAAUCUUGGCCAAGAACAUUAUAAAUUAGGAUGAUGAAAUUGAAAGAAUAAAAAAUCUCUUUAGUUAUUUUUUUCCUAAAGCUCUUAGCUAAGUUUUGGAAGAAAAAACAUGUAUCUUCACAAACAACAUUUAAAUGUAUAUGUCAUUGUUUCUAUAUUAAAAUAUUUAUGCUUAUAUAUUUAUAAAAAUGCCUCUUCAUAAUAUUUUUUAUGAAUGGUAUAAAUUGAUUGAAAUGGCAAUGAAGUCAAAUUUAUUUAUGCCAUCAAUAAAGAAAGUUUUUUUCAAAUGCACACACACAUGUGUUUAUGGUAAACAUAUUUAAGGCAUUGCUCCAGUUUCUAUAAACCCCUUCCAAAAAGAACAGAAAAAUCCAAUAUUAUAAGUCUCUAUCAUUUUCAACCUUAUGUUGGUUUAUAGGAAGAUACAGGACUAGGUUAAGUAUUUUUCACAUAAUGUUUGAAUUUAAUACAUUGGACUAAUUUUUACAAAAUAGAAAUAAAACAUAAAUAAAUAGUACUUUGCUAACUGAGAAUCCAAGUCACUUAUAUUUUAUGACUCAUCAAAAUUCUAAAGACUAGGAAAAUUAACUGAAAGAUUUAAUUUACCUAUUCCUGAAGAUAUCUGGACUUGAUUUUUCAGUAGUAAUAAAAAUAUGUAAUUGUAGAAAUCACUAGAUAGAAUUUUCAUAGAAUUAAAAUAAUAAAUAGUAAUACUCGAUGUGUAAUUCAAUAAGAUAAGUAGUUUACUUGUGAAAGUGUUUUAUUUAAUAUCUUAUUUUUUAACUCACAUAGAAUUACAAUUCUGUAAAAUUCCAUUAAUUUCAAUGUUAAUUUUUAAUUUUCUUAACAUUUAUUUAUUUUUGAGGGACAAGAGAGAGACAGAGUACAAGUGGGGGAGGAACAGUGAGAGAGGGAGACACAGAAUCCCAAGCAGGGUCCAGGUUCUGAGCUGUCAGCACAGAGCCCAAUGCGGGGCUGGAACUCACGAACCAUGAGGUCAUGACCUGAGCUGAAGUUGGACACUUAACCAACUGAGACACCCAGGCACCCCAAUGUUAAUAUUUUAGAAUUAAUUAUAAUUUGUUGUGGGUUGCAAUGAUAUAGCCUAUCCUAAUUAUAAAAAUCUGUUAUAAGGAAAUAAAUGAUUUUUAAAUGUACCAUAUAUGAUGAUGAAUAUAUUCACUGAUUUUAAAAGGCUUUUAAAUUUACCUCAUAUGCUGGGACAAUUUUUAUGAGACCAACUUUAAUGGCCUUAUAAAAGAUGUCAUUUAUAGGGUAUUUAUGACAUGCCAAAUUAUCUCUAAUUUUUUAAACAACACUGUGCUAAAUAGGUAUAGUUGAAGAGGAGUAUUAUGAGGUUUUGAAAAGUUGUUCCAGACCAGACAGUUAAUUACAUGGCUGAACUAGGAUGCUUACCUAGGCUGGCUGGUUCCAAAGCUGGAUGAGUAGCAGAAGCUUAAAGAAUCCUUUAUAGUCUAAGUGAGCGGCUGUCUCAUAUUCAGAAAGACUCGAAGAACUAAAAUUUCCUGGACUUGUUAUCAAUUAAAAUGUCAAUGAAUGUCAAUGACUCAAUAUAAUAGAUUUUUAAAAUAUCUUCCAAAUUACUUUGAUGAUCAGCAAGAUAUGAAAAUCCAGGUGAAUAUGGUAGACAAGUAUAGUACAAACAGCACUGCAUCAGAAGGGAAACCUAUGUUUCAUUUCUAUCCUGCUAUUUAAAACUUCUAGGAAGAUCAUAUAAUGUUUAAUGAAUUGCCAUGUGGUGUCUACUUUUUUCUCUUCAUAUGCUUCCUGGUAUGAAUAACUUAUGCUAUUGAUGACGGGAAGCUGCAAGUACUACCAAGAAUGCUAAGAAAUCACUGAACCCAACAUCAGCUCUAAACCGCUACAAAGUGUAUGCGACAGCUGCCUCUUUAACGAGUGCCUCAAAAACAAAUAAGCCUUGUUGGUGUUCUACAUUAUGGAUUAUAUCUCAUGGUUGUGUCUAUGUCAUCAUUUUCCAGCAAUAAUCCUAAGUAAUCCUCAAUAAUCCUUGGUUAAGUAGGCUACAGAGCCAUGGCACUUUUUUUCCUCUAAAGGUCAGACGUAUUUUAGUGACAUUUUUCCCUUAGGGUUCAAGCAUCAGCCCCUUCAGGCUGAGUCAGAAGGUGACCUAAAUGACUCAUGCUCUUCAGUACUUAACUAUUCUUUCUGACCCUGAGGAUUUUUCCUGGCUUAUACUAAAUACUGUAACUACCUUUCCAUGAGAGUGAAUUCUUUCCCAGAGGCUGACUUGAUAUCUUCUCUAACUAGAGGCCCAAAACAACUUCUCAACUAGUCUUGAAAGCAUUUCUAAGAAUGGCACAAUAUUAUGGUGAUUACAAUAUAGAGUAAACUAUAGAAUAUAUGUAUAUUUAUAUACAUAUAUACAGCUCAUAACUAACUCUAUACUGUACUAUAUAUAUUAUAUAUCUAGUGCAUAUAUAUAUUGUAUAUAUACACACAAGUAUUUGGUAAAUAUUUGAAUAUUUAAUUUCUGGCUGUUUCAUUUAUCCCCCAUUUAUUUUGUACCAAAAAUGUGUAUAAAUGGUUAUAAAUUAUCAAAUGUUUAUGGAUAAAGAUUUUAAGUCACAGAAGUUAGAUAAUAUGCCCAAGAUAAAAGAGCUAAUAUUGACAGGUGCGAUUAGGAAUCCAGGUAUUUUGGGUCAGCUAGGUGGCUCAGUCAGUGAAGUGUCAGCCUCUUGAUCUUGGCUUAAGUCAUGACCUCACAGUUCGGUUGGUGAGAUGGAGCCACCUCUGGGUCUGCACUGACAGAGCCUGCUUGGGACUCUCUCUCCCCCCACUCUCUGCCCCUCCCCUACUUGCGAGCACUCUCUCAAAAUAAAUAGUCCGAAAAAAUCUAAGCAUUUUGGUUUAGAGCUAAUACUCUUUAUAGGGGCAAUAUUCAUAUUAUCUGUCACUGCCUUUCUUCUUUCUCCAUAUUAAAUUGAAAUAGCAACAUCUACAAAUUUCAUUUCAAUGUGAAUGAAUAAGUCUAAAUCUACAAACGGAGAGUCAUUAUUCAGAUUGUUUAAAUGUAUUAGCCCAUAAAUAUAUUAGCCCAAGGAUAUCUUUUCUUUCUUUGGAUGGUUUCUUAGAAAAGUUCACAUUAAUAAAAUGCUUACACUUUCUACUCAAUUAGUCAUGUAUAUAUAAUAUAUCCACUUUGUGUUUGUGCUGUAUUUGAUGGAUUGUUUGUUAAAAUAGAAAAAUAGAACAGAAAAAUAAAUUGUUUUUGGUGAUCUGAGAGAACGUUUUAUGUAACUGAUGGGCACAAUUUCCAUAGGUUAAAAUUAGAUGUCAAUAAAGUAGUAAAUUAUGAUAUGUUGUGCACUAGUACUAAAUAAAAAUAAUUUUCAGCCAGAGGGAUCAAUGAGGAGAUGGGACUUGAACUCAAUAUUUAAGGAUGGUCCUUAAAAUCAGUAAAAUACAUGGAAUUUUCUAGAAUAUAUUUCAAAAAUCCUAUAAAUAUAAAAACAUUUACAUGUAGAAUGAUGUAUGUGGAACUAGAUAAAAUGGAAUAGAUCUGUUGCUAAUUUCCAGAAACUGUUCUGUAAUAUUGAAUGAUUCUCAUCUCAUGCGUAUGUUUAUUCAUUCAGAAAUAUUGUUGACUGAUAGCAUUUGUGCAGGGUCCUGAGCAGGGCAUGUUUUCUGCUGCUGCUGAAAGAUUUUACUUCCUUUUCUAAUGGUAAUAUAAAACUCUUUUAAGAUAGAAAUUAUAUAUUAGCUAUCCAACCAUAAUAGAGUCUGCAAAUGGACAAAGUAGCCUAGAUUAAAGGGAGAAUCUCAAGUGUGAAGCGAAUUCUACCAAUGUCAACAUAAUUUCAAAGAAAUGGCUUAGGAGAAAAAUAAAAUAGUAUAUAUAUAUAUCUAUAUAUAGAUAUAGAUAUAAGUGUAGUAUUUUUCAUUCUCUGUAUGUAAGAUUUAAAAUAUUUUUAAUGACAAGAGUACUUACAUUUAGUUGUCAUGAAAAUUUUUCUCCUAGUAGAUUCUGAUUAUUACUCUUAACUGUCUUACAGCUGGAGUCCAGGGACCUAUGUAAUUUUAGCUAUAAUUAAAAAAUAAAACAAAUUUCCAGUUUCAGUUUUCUAAUUGCACAUAGGUCAUGCAUUUAGAGUAAUUGAAAUUUUCACUCAUCAUCUAAAUAAGUGACAUUAUAAAGACACAGUCUUACUGUUUAUUGGACCAAAACUAGUUUGCUCCAUAUACACUGUAGAGGAAAAAAAGUAAUCAAAUUAGUGUAAUGAAGAUGUGCUGUAAUAGAUUAAAGAUUUCAGUACCAAGUAGUUGAUGAUCUUGAGUGAUAAAUAUGGCUUUUGUAUGACCACCAAGCUUAAUCUUUAAAAAAUUGUAGCGUUCUAGCCUUUACAAAAAGAUCUAACCUUAUAUCAAAUAAAUAUUGUCAAGAUUGAUUAAUAUAGUUGUUAUUUUGACCUCAGAUGUCCAAGUUGCAAUCCAAUUACAAAAUAUUUCUGUGAACAUCUAUAAGGACAUUUCAAAUUGACAGAAGGUAACACAUGAUUGUCACGUUUAUUCAUGCAAAGAACAAUUAGAAUAGAUUUAUUUUGAACAUGAAGGAAAUUUAGAGAAAAACAAGCAUCGUUUCUCAUCUGAGAAAGAAUUGUUGUUUACUUAAGGUUAACCAUGAAAAUAACUUACUUCAUAGAAUACACAUAAUAUAGUAAAUACAGAUAUAGAGAAAAAAGUACAUUAUGAAAGCCAUGUACAGAUAUAUGCACUUUGCUCAAAUAAUUUCCACAAGAAAUAUUAAAUGCACAUUCAUUGUUGUUACCAUGGAACUAGGUUCUGGGGAUAAAUAAAGAUAAAAUUAUUUUUGAGGAACUAACAGCAUGCCAUGGAAAACAGUUACAUGAGCAUUAUAAAAAUAUGUACAAGUACCAUAAUGGAAACAUAUAUAAUUUUGAUAAAAAUGCUAAGAAGUAUCUUACUCCAACUAUUUUGGCAUUAGUUGUGGGUACUGGAAUGGGAAGGAGUUGGUAGAUGGCAAUUGGUAAAGCACCCUGGAGAAGUGAUUCCUAAGUUGAGUAUAAAAUAACCAUAUUAGAUGAUAUCUAUGUCUGUAAGGACAUCUACUCAAAACGGGUGAAAUAAGUGAACAUAUGCAGGAAGAUAAGCAUUGUGUUUAGGGAAAUAUAUAAUCAUUUUGGUGUCUCUACAUCAAUUUGAAUUAGACAGUAGGGACAGAUGUUGGAGAAAUAAGAGGCUAUACCUAAAAAAAAAUGUAAACUUUAUUCAAAAGGCAGUUAUGUUAUUCCAACUGGUCUGACACCAACUGUAUGUACUACAGUUCAAUUCUGAUCCUAACUGCCGGGACUUGGCACAGACUCACAGAUUAAGGGCAGAUUCCUCUACAAGACUGCUCUCACUUCAGAUGCCAGCUGCAAGUCUUGAAGGCAUGAUUGGGCCAUCCCACUUCUGGCCAACUGGCUACAAAUUUAGGGGUUUCCAUGAUCAAUCCCGUCAGGUUUAAUAAUUUGCUAGAAUGGUUCAGAGAACCCAGGAGAGUACUGUAUCAUAAUUACAGUUUUCUCACACAGGAUACAUACAGGGUGUAACCUGGGAGAGAAUGCAGAACUUCUGUGCCCUUUCCUCACAGAAUCAAGGAGUGUCACCCUUCUGGCACAUCAAUGUGUUCACCAACAAGGAAGUUCCACUGGGUUUUGGUGUGCAGAGAAUAAAUUGAGAUUUCAUUAAUUGGGUAUGAUUGAAUUCAAAUACAUGGGCAGAUUUAAUCUCCAGCCAUGCUCCCUUUCCUAGAAUUUGGGCUAGCUCCAAGUUCCAACACACUAAUCGGGAGGUUGUUCUUCCUGGUGACCAGCCUCCUUUCUGAAGCUAAAUAGGACUGACCAGGAGUAACAUCAUGAAGAAGUUUCAAUAUUUAUCAACCCUUGACUAAUAUGGUUUCAUCUAUUUUCCUUUCUUCUUUCCUCCCAUUAUUUUGAAUCAAAUCCUAAGAUACCAUCCCAUUUUACUUAUAAAUAUUUUGAAAGGAUUUCAGUUUUAAUUUGUCUUUACUCUUAGUCACAAACAUUAUUAAAGAUUAUAGCACAAAGAAAUACUGAGAUUGAUAUAAAACUAUGUAAUAAGAAACAAGGUCUUAUUUAUUUAAACAGGCCACUUUAUGGCUAUAACAAGUGAAGGGGAGUCAUAAUUUUGAGAGUCAAAAAGCUUAGGCAUUAUCACCACAUAUUAAUUCAUUUUAUAGUCCUCAAUGAGACUAUUGUAUGUAUUUCUGUACCUUUCAUUUGAAAAAGCAGAGAAGAUAUUUAAUAUUUAAUUUACAAUAUAUUUUACCAGCUCAGCAUAUAGUGCGAAUAUAGAGUCAUCAAAGUAGUAAAUGGGGCCUGGGUAAACCCUGAAAAAAACAGUACUUCAGAUGUCUGCUAAUUUUUAGAAAAGCGAAAAAAGCAAUUUUCUGUUCAGGAGUGAAAUAAAUUCAAUGCCCUGCAAAAUAUAAAGAGCUGUAAAAAUGUAUACCAUUCUGAUAAGUUAGUACAUAAAAGUUUGAUGUGAAGUAAUACAAAUGAAGCCUUCAAGAGGUGAUAAUUUAGAACCAAAUAAAUUAUGAAACAGAACUGCCAAUUGAUCAUGAAAAAAAUUAAUCUAUUUUUGUUAAUCUGUUGGUUUGUGGGUUUUUUCUUCUGUAAUUACAUAAACUAAAUUUAAUAAAAUCUGUUAAAUGGGGAAGUGUUCUACUCCAAAAUAAAACACUUUGUUAAAAUGACUAAAUCCUGAAAUGGCUAGACAAAUUCUUAAAAAAAAAAAAAAAAAAAAAAAAAAAAAAGAGGAUUCCUAGAAAGGAGAUUAAGAAACCCUGCUCAAUUUGUAGGUAUUUGUAGGAGUCAGAUCAACUAGAGAUGGGCCUCUAAGAAUGGUAUGCACCAGAUUAUUUAUGACAGGGAUUUGUUUAUGGAAUUGGGGAAAGGGUUACACCGUUUAGCUACAGUUGUUGCUUUGUGUCUGGUGGUGGCUCUGAAAUAACAAGGGCAUGCAGUAUAGACAGAAAUAUAAGGUGUUGGAGAGAGCAAAGGCAAACUGGAACUUGUAUAAAUGAGUGGAGAACCCAGGAGGAUGAACUGGAAGCCAGGUAGCUUCUCAACACCUUGAAUUGUCCAACUUGAGUGAUAGGGAUGAUUUGCAGAAGAGGCUGGUGCUAUUUGUCAAGGGCAUAAACAAAAAUCUGGCUCAGGAGCCAGUGGAUCUGGAGGAGGAGAUCUAGCAGAUGGCAGAGGAGGUGGAAGCCCAGUUACUGUUUCAAGCCAACAAGGUGAGUCAGCAAGUUUCAGAUACUGUGCAUGAGCUAUAAUUGUAUCCGAUCCUACACUGACACCCUGAGUUUCAAUCUAGCUGUUGUUCACUUCCACCUUCUAAAUCUUACACAUCAUGUUUUCCUUAUGGCCAAGCUUAGCCCAAGAACAUAGAGGGAAAGAAAUUCUGGGAAAUCUUGUUUCAGCUCAGCUAAGUUGACACAAUAGAAAACUAUCAAGAUUCUCUUGCUAUCUCGGACUCUACAUGCAUCUUCAUUAACCACAGAUAAGUUCUAAAGUCCUACUUCUUCCUAACAUGAUGCACACAGUAACCAUCUUCCUAAACAAAUUUAAAAAGUCCUUAUAUUUGUCUUUAGCUGAUGAUGCUCAGUCCUUUUCAGGAUGAAUCACACUUUCUCUUUGAUGUUCUGUAACCUAAAUAUUGAGAUAGAAGGUUAGCUACUAUUAACAUAUCUAACACUUGUUGAUUUUGUGGAAAAAUGUUUAAACUAUAUUCCGUACUGAAAUAAGUUAACUAUUCCUUAACUACUGAAGACCUCAUUUCAGCAGAUUAGUUACGAGUUAAUAAUUGGUGUUUGUCACUACCUCUUCCCACUCCCAGUCUGUAUUGCCUUUACCUUCAGCAAUCACCUCAGAUGCUUGUAGAUUCUUGCUUGGUUGAAUGAGCAAAACCUUUAUCCCUAAAGUGGCUGGGUCAUUACACAUUCUGACUCUACUGGGUUGAUGGAUUUUCCAUGGGCUCUAACUACAGGACAUUGGAGUGCCCAAUGAUCCCCAGAAAACUAAGCGUUCUCCUCCUUAUACCAUAUUUUCUAAUAGCACCACAAUUUCUCUUUUUAAAAUUUUUAUUUUUAGAAAGAGAGAGAGAGUAUGAGUGCUGCAGAGGGGCAGAGGGAGAGAGAGAGAGAGAGAGAGAGAGAGAGAGAGAGAGACUCUUAAGCAAGCUCCAUGCUCAGUGCAGAGCUUGACACGGGGCUCUAUCCCAUGACAUUGGGAUCAUGACCUGAGCUGAAAUCAAGAGUCAACAACUGAGCCACCCAGGUGCCCGCACAAUUUCUCUUUUAUACUAAAGAUCACUCCAGACAUAUAGCAACCUCUUCCUAGUCUAUGUAUUUACUGGUGUUGAGUAGCUAGAACAACAGGUCUUAGGGUAGAAACUCAGUUUGUAAUUAUUUCAAAUCAUUGCAAUGUCUCCCGGUGGAAGCAGGAUUUUAUUUAAUGAUACUGAAUCUGUGAUAUAAAAAUACAUGUCCUUAUAUAUAAAAGUAAUUUUUUCCCUUUUUGUUACAGUUGCCUGGUCAGCGUAUAAUCAUAGAAUGAGUUAAAAAGUUUUUCAUUAACCCCUCCCUUUAACCUACUUUGGCAAUUUGAAAUUCCUUUUCAAUUUUUUUAAUCUUUUCACAUUUUCUGCUACAGUUUGAUAAUGAAACUCUCCUUUAAAUAAUUAAGCUACUGGCUAAUCAAUGCAGUCCUUCUUACAGUACCUGCCUGCUCUCUAAGAUUUUGAUAUUACUCUGCGGUCACGCUGGGAAAAGUCCUCUUUUUGGAUGCUAAUUCUUCCAGUUUUUAGGUUCAAAAUUUUCAUUGCCACAUUUCACCAUGAAUCUAAUUAUAUGUGCCUUAUUUUAUAAAAAUCUAAAUUUAUUCUUGUAGAAAUAUAGUUCUCUACCACUUAUAUAUACAGAAUUCAAUUAUCACUGUUUUAUACGUGUUGCAUUCUAUUUCUUUCCUUGCUUUAAAUGUGAUUCGUCUUUUGAAUGCGAAAUGUAUAAAAAUGUCCAGAGAAUAGUGUAACACACAUGUAUCUCAAACAAGAACAACAAAAUAGUAUAUGUGCUUUUUAUAAAUUAUGAGUUAAGGAAAUAUCACUUGUAAAGUUAACACUUCAGUUUGAUUCCCUUGCUUCACACCUGCUAUGGAUUGUUGUACAACCUCAAAUUUACACUGAAAUCCUAUGCCCCUUGCAAUGGUAUUAGGCGAUGAGGCCUUUGGGAGGUAAUUAAGUCAUAAGUGUGGAGCCUUCAUGAAUGACAUUAAUGCCUUUACUAAAAGAGGCCCUAGAGAGCUCCUUUGCCCCUUCUAUCAAAUGAGGACAGAAGUCUGGGACCCUGCUGGGGGCCCUCACCUGAACAUGCUGGCCCUCUGAACUCCUACUGCCAGCUCUCAGAAUGGUGCGCAAUCUGGUUUUUUAUAAGCCACGUAGUCUGUGCUAUUGUGUUACAGCAGCAUGAAGAGACUAAAACACCACUUGUAGAAUCAAACGUGUGAAGUCAUUGAAAAUACUUUAAGUUGGCAUAUUAACAUUUUUUUAAAUCAUUCAUUCUAUUUAUUUAAUAAAUAUUUCCCUGGUGCCUAAUAUGUGGCUGACAAUGGUCUAGACAUUGGGAAUCCAACAAAGUAUAAAACAUAGUUUUUGCCAUGUUGGCAAUUAUAUACACGUUGCCUCUCACCUUGGUAUGUUCACGUGUCAAAUGAUCUUGUACUCCACUCUUCUUCAGACGUUCAAUUACAGGUUUAUUCUCUAGAUCUUUUCAUGAUCAGUAACAGCCACCUCCUCCUUAAACUAAUCUCAGUUGCAAGAAUGCCAGUAUCUGAUUAACACCUUCUAUUUUCCAGCUCACUAACUGUACUACUGCAAUUACAACAAUCCUUCUAGCCCACCAUAAUCUACAAUCAAUUAAUACUUCCAUCUAUUUACCGUCUCAUAAUACUCAUAUCUUCUUUUUCCCCAUAACCUGAUUCAAUUCUAUGGUCAAUCAUUGUAAUCAUUCUCUUGCAGACAUCCUCAUUCCUUUCAAUGCUCUUAUUUUUUUUACUCUCCGUUGCCAAAGCUGCUUCCCUGGCCUGGAACUAUAACACUCAACUUGCCUAAUUUGUCUAAAAGAAAACCGAUCUUGCUGAAUCUUCCCGUGUAAAUGCACGAUCAACGAUUUCAGUUGAGCACUCAGUGCUACUCCACCAUCACACUUUAUUUCUCCAAUCCAUCCCUUCUCGCAGUCUGAAAGAUGACUAUUUUGCAUUUUUUCUGACUUCAAGUAUUUAACAUUUCCUGCCUAUACGUACACUCAACUAAUAUCCCUGCUUUGUAUUUCCCCCAACAGAAUUGAAGAAUACAGAAGAGAAUAUCCAUAAGCUCUAGUAAUUAUAUACCCCCUAACUGUGUCCAUGUGCUGUAUCUUAUGUUCUCUCAAAUUACCAUUAAUGAACUGCCAGACUCCUUUCUAGAUUUAACACUUUUACUUACACAUCCAAUUCCAUAUCGUCAGUGCUGCUUCAAGCAAUUGCUCCAGUAUUUCUUAUUUCUCCCUUCCUCUCUUGUAAGCAUUUUUUUUCUCUUGCUACUAAAUCUAUAGUUACAGUAUAAAACCAUGUUCCUAUUAUCCUCAUAUUGAACAAAAGAUAGGAUUUCCCUCAAUUUCAUUUCUUCAUUAAUUUUUCCCUACUUCUCCCCCUUCCAUUUCAGCAAAACUUCUUCACUUCAUAUAUUCACCCUCUGACUUAACUUCCCUUCUUCCCUUCCUCAAACUCCUGUCAGGCUUUUGCCACUAUCAUUACAUCAUAUCUUUAGCCAAGGUGCCAAGACCAUAAGUGAUUUCUCAGUUGCUAAACGUAAGUGUCAUUUCUUCAUUCUCCUCCUGAGCCACAGCACCAUCUGAAAUAAUUGCUGACUCACUCUCUCUGGGGAAGCCCUUUCUUCCCUUUUCCUCCAAGUAUCUUCCAUGGUUUGGAGCCUACUUCCCUGACCACUGCUUCUGAAUUUCCUUUCUUUCUCAUCUCUGCAUAUAUAACUUGGAGUACUCCAAGUGUUUAUUCCUGAUGUAUUUUAUUUUUGGCUUACCUGCACUCACUCAGAAAUUUCAUUAAAUCUCGUGCUCUAUUUCCAUACUCUGAAGAAUUACAAAUGUGUAUCUUCAGUCAAAAUCUCUCUCCCAAAAUUGACUCAAUUAUUUAAAGGCCUAUUGAUAGCAUCAUUUGAAUGUCUAAUAGAUAUUUCAACAGUAAAAUACCAAAAAUUGAGCCCUUAAUGUGCUGUCUCCCCCCCUCCCCAAAUUCUUCCCUGUUAUAUUAGUUUUCACGAAUUCCUUAUUUCUAGUUGUUCACACCAAAUCCCUUAGAGUUCUCCUCCUAAACUGCCUCCCCACCACAUUAUUCAAGUCUAUGUAGUAAUCUUCUUUGCUUUACCUUCAAAAUUAACCAGAAUGCAAACAUUUAUUAAUACUUCUGAUAUUAUUAACAUUUUGGUCCAAGCCACCAAAAUGGGUUGAAGGCUUGGACUUCCUCACUACUUUCUCUGCCCCUGCCUUUGUUCUUAUUAUAGUACAUUCCCUUCAAGUUUUGCUUUGUUUUUAAUUAAAGUAAGUACAUUUUUUUGAGACAGAGAACGAAAGUGCAAGUGGGAGAGGGGCGGAAAGAGAGGAAGAGAGAGAAUCUUAAGCAGUGGAGCCUAGUGUGGGGCUCAAUCUUGUGAGAUCAUGACCUGAGCUGAAAUCAAGAAUCAGAGGCUCAACCGACUAAGCCACCCAGGUGCCCCUGGUCAAUUCCCUUUAAAAUAAUGGUCAGAUCACAUUACCUUAGCUCAAAAUCCUUUGGUGGCUUGUUAUCUUGCUUAUAGUAAAUUCAAAGCCUUUACAAGAUUGACGAAGUGCUAUGUAAUUUUUAGCUCCAUAGGUACAUUAUGCGUGUUUUGUGCAUGUACACUAGAACCCCCAUCUGUGCCUUGUCACUCCCUCUUCUAACAGCACAAGACUGCAAGUUUUUUCCGAAGACUGACCUGAGCAACUGCUGUCAUUGUGCCCUCAGAGCUGAGCGUCCAUGGAAUUUAUAUUCCUUCAAGCAGCCUUGGGCUUGAGGACUAACUUGUGCUGGUGUGAGAAACCCCAGCCGUGUUGAUUGCAGCUGAGAUCAGAUCUGGGGGCUAUUUUGUACUCCAGAAUUCCCCUGCAAGAUCACAGUCUUGCCUUGCUCCUUCACCUUCCGUUUUUUACUGCACCCUUCUUUUAUCAGGUUCUUUCUGGAGAACAUUUCCACAAUAAAUCGUUUGUAUGUAUGUAUACUCUCAGGGUUUGCUUCUGGAGACCCAAGCCCAAGACAAGUCUCUAUUCCAGUUUUCUUUUGGGCCACAUCUCCUACUACUGGACCCCUUAUUUACUCAGCUCUAGCUUUGUAUCUUCCCCCUUUUACUUUUCCCCAUGACAGCAGGCAUGUCCCCUUCUCAGGUCCUUUGCAUUUAUUCUCAAUGUCCUCUUACUCCUAGUACCUGUAAAGCUCAGUGUUUCACCCCUUACUUGUCCUUGUUCAGAUUAUACCUUCCUAGGGAGUCCUCACUUCCAGUACACAAUAUAUCCUAUCUUCCCAUCUUUCUUUUCUCCAUUGCAUUUAUCAGCUUAAAGUACAAUGUGUUUAAUGGAUAACACUUAUUUACUGUCUCCUCCCAUCACAAUGUAAACAUCCUGAAGGCAGGAAGUUUCUCUGUAUCUCCAGAUCCUUGAAGAGUCCUUGGCCCACUAAUGUGUCAAAACAACUAAUUUGGGAUGAAUUGAAUAAAUACACAUUCAAUAAUAAUAUGUAAACAUUGUGUUAAUUUGUACAGAAAAUAUAUCAUACUGUAUAUCAUUGUGAAGCAUUUUUUUGUCAUUCACAUUAUUUUUGAAAUCAAUCCAUAGUGAUAUAUAUACAUAAGCAUCAUUCAUUUUUAAUUGUUUCAUGAUAUUUAUCAUUUAGAAGUAGUUUUAAGAGGAAACAUGUAUUUUAGUCAACAUUUAUAUACAAUUUUUCAAAAUAUUUACUUGUAGAAGAGAAAGUCUGUACAGUUAAAUUUUCUAGCAAUGAAAAAGUUAAUAUAAACACCAAUUCAAUAUGAAAAUAUUGUCUCAAUCACUAAGCAUUUCUGUCAUGGUUUUAUUUUUUAACUUCUUAGACUUCUAAGUUAAAUUGAAAUUUUUGGGUACAAAUGUCAUAUUGUUGUAUCUUAUAAAUAUAGAUAAUCUUAACCUUUAAAAAGAACAAUUAAAUUGCAGAACACUUCCUGCAUAGAUAGAUGAAUGAUAAAAUAGCAUAGAAUAGUAGUUCAUUCUUUAAAAUCUAGGCAAGAAAGACUAAUUUCAAGGUCCAGCAUUUCAACUUCAUCUUUAGUUUUGAAAUAAUUGCUAAAAUACUUUCUUAGAUGAAGAAAUUCAAUUGAAAUGAAUGACAAAGAUCUGUACUAAAAUCAAUGUCUCUAAUGUUAGGAAUAUAUUUAUGAAAUGUAACUCAUGAGAGAUUUUUCUUGAAAACUCAGAAAUAAAUACGAGAUUACAUAUUUUUGUAAUAUCUUAGGAUAGUGGGUUUAAAAUGAACACAUAAAAUAUUUUGAAAUAAACUGAUUUUAAAUACUUCAGAACAAAAUGCCAUUUGUGAAACAAGGUCAGUAUUAAUUAUCAACUUGAUCUUCCAACAUAGAAAUGUGAUUUGGAAAAUCAUCCAUCUAUAGAAAAGUCUUCCUUUUUUCUUUUCUUUUUUUUUUUAAUACCACACUGAAAUAAAAUGUUUCUCAUUGCCCCUAGUUGUUCUUUGUGAUCAGAGGCCAGUUUUAUCAGUGUAUUUGAGUGGAAGGAGCUGUACUGUGCAAAUUAGGAGACCUGGAUUCUGAUCCUCCUCUAACUAAUAUUUCAAAGAGGACUAAAAUCUGGAGAUUUAUUCAGAUACAAAUAGUGUUCCUAUAUUUGAAACACACACAGUUUUUAGAACUGUAUAAAUAAAAUAUACUAAAUUAUUAUAUUAUAUUUAAUAUAACAUAUUAAUUAUAUUAAUUAUAUUAAAUAUAUUAAAUAUAUUAUAAAUAAAAUAUGCUAUUUUCACCAGAAUAUAAGCUAUAACAAUAUAAAGCAGUUUCCCAGUGUUCAUUAUACAUUUUUAGUAUGAAAAAUCAGAUGGUGAAGUAACACAUCAUGUUAUCUACUGGAGAAACAUCACCAUUACUAAGGAUGAAGUUGUAAGAUAGCUUCUAAUAAUGAAGCUGUUACACAUUAAAUUUCCAAGUGUUUUCAAUUACAACCUAUCAUUGUGCUGAACACAAAUUUGUGAGACAAUGCAGACACCAUUCCUAUCUUAUGAAGUAAUUCAUACAGUUUCAUUGUUAUUCCCAAAGUGUGGCUGGUUAACUGUGGCCACACAUCAUCUGUCACUGAGAGGUUGGAUGUAUAAAGUGGUGGGCUGGAACCAGCUUGUAACAGCUCACAAGGAUAGGUUUUCCUCAUUUCUUUCCAAUUCUGUGUUUAGUGACAUAAUAUUGAUAACUCUAAUUACACCAGAGAAAUUGGUAAGUACUAUAAACACAAUUGUUUUGUUUUGGGUUUUGUUGUUGUUGUUGAGAGACAGUUUACUAGCACACCACUGACUGUUCUCUCUCUCUGAAUCAAUUUUGGCUCUGAGAUGACUUCGACCAAUAGAUUUUGGCAGAAAUGAUCUGUACCAGUUUCCUGGCCUAAUUCUUCAGAAACUGUCCUCCCCUUUCUGCCUCUUAGAAUAUUUGCUCUUGGAAAAUGCCCAAGCAAUCAGUGAACAGGCCCACAUAGACAAAAACUGAGGGUCCCAGUUGAUGGCUAGUGUUAGCUUGUCAGCCACCUUCAGCUGGAUCCUUAAGCAGUGGUCAGUCCAUCCCAGGUGACAAUAUAUAAAACAGAGAUGAGCUUCCCCCACCAAGCCCAGCCUGAAUUGCAGAUUUGUGAGCAAGGCAAAUUAUUGUUUUGGUUUUCAGCCACUACAUUUUUGGGUGGUUUGUAAUGGUACAUUAGAUAACUGGAAUGCAGAGACACAGCUUGAGUGUAGACAAAUUAGGACUGGACCCCACCUUAUGGAAAGUUCUUCAUGCUUCUAUUUCCUUCCCAUUCCCCCAUAACAGUACUGGAAAAAUAAAGAAUAUAUACCCUAUUCUGAAGAAUGCAGAGAAAACCCAAAACUAGUGGUUAAACUACUGUUUUUCUAACAGUAUUUGACAGACACUUUCAAAGUCACUAUUGUGGAAUCAUUGCAGGCAUUCUGAAUCAAUGUUUCAUGAGUAGUAUAUGCCUUCUCUUUUCCUGAUUGUAAAUUUCCAUGUAAUAAGAAUAGCAUUUGAAAGUCAAGUCAUUUAUCUUUGUUAUGUGUCUAAAAUUAGCAUCUAUUUUGUUUAUUUGCUGACUGCCAGAAAUAUGAUGAAUAAUAAUAUUGGAAGAAUUGGCAGGAAACUGAGCAUGCAUAUGAAUCACUAAGUCAAAUUAUAGUAACAUUAAAAAAUUAACUGUAGGGUAAUGUAGGUUAUCUUUCUUAUUGGUAUAUCUGAAAACAAUUUUGUAGAUGUUUAAAACAAAGCAAUCAAGAGAGAAUCAUACUGGUAACAAGUUAAAGUGUUAGUAAUUGUAGAUAUGUCCACAAUAGCAUUAAAAUAUUUAAUAACCUGCCAUUAGUGAGUAAAACAUAAAAGUACAAAUCAAAACAUUACACCUACUUUCAAAUAUCACAGACUCAAGUCUCGAUUAUCUGUCACCAUGAAUAUUGUGGCAUUCUAAAUGGUUCUGUUUUUACCCUCCUUCUCUAGACCUAUUACUCCAAAAAUACACCUCUAAAAUAAGUAUAUUCUUGCACAGAACCUACCUUUUCAUUCUAAGGAAUAAACUCUAAAUCCCUGUAUUCUAUACAGUUUCUCUUUUCAAAUCUCAAAAUUUCAUUCUCUUUCUUAACAAACUAGGUUACUCUCUUCCCUAAUAUUUCCCACACAUUCUCAUCCCUACUUUUGACCAUAUUGAUGCCGCUAUUUGAAAGUCCUUUCCCUCCAUCUAUAUAUAUUGAAGGUAAAGUCAAAUAUUAAGAACCAGUUCAAAAAGGAUGCAUGAAAUAUUCCCAACCACCCAACUCCAAAAGUAGUAGCUCAUGCUCCUGUAUUCACACUUCUCUAUUACAGUACUUCACUUAUGUUAAUAUUUUAUUUAUUUCUAUAAAAGCACAUUUGUACUGCUAAUAGUUCUCCAGUUUCUAAUAUUAUUUUUUUCAUUACUAGUACUGUCUUUUAGUUUAAUUUAGUAAAUGGGUGCACAGAGUCACUUCCUUUCCCUUUUGUAGCUAGAGGUAGUUUUGUAACAACAUCCUUGCCAACUGUUUUAAGGAUAAGUCUUUCACUUAAAAAAUUAUGCUUGGUUCUCCUUUAAAUUGUUUCUCCUUCCCAUGAGACAGGACUUGGACUUAGCACUGGUCAACCAAGUUUGACGAUGCAGAUAAUAGCACUAGUUGAGGGAGAUGAGGCACAGAGGUAAGAGCCAUACGCCCUGGAUGAUCUAGUGGUUCAAAACUGCCAGCCUACACUGGCCUACCCACCUACCUCAUUGUUAUGAAAAACAUAUAUGAUUCUAUAGCCACCUAGACUAUAUAUCCUAACAUACUAAUGCACUAAUCUCUAACUUUCUGAGUGUAGAAAUAUCACAGAUACUUUUUUCUUUCUCCUAUACCUAGCACAAGGACUUGCAGACAUUAUGUGUUCAAAAUGUCUUUGUUACAUUGCAUUGCACUAAAAACUAAUUCUAUUUGUAGGAAAAAAAAUCCGUGUAAACGUUUGUUCAUUAGAUUGGCCUUAUCAGCAUUAGGUCAUCUUAUAGUCCUCUAUUAAAAUAAUUAGAUCAUUACUUUUACUAAAACAUUAAGAUAUUCAUUGUUUAUAAUACAAGUCAGUAUGUUUCAGAAUUAGAGUAUAUGUGGAAAGGAAAUGGUGGCUGAGAGGAUAAAAAGAGCAGAGAAGAAAGACUUCAUAAAGUAUCUGUGCUUCAUUUAUAGUAAUGCUAUGUGCAUAAGGGAACCUCUUAAAAAUGAUCCACAAAGCAAAUGGUAUUUCAAUAGUAAAUAUCACAAAGACCAAAGGAAAUUUAAAUCUAAUUCAGAAUUAUUCAAUAAAGGUCAGUGAGAAGUAGGUGGGGAAAAAAGAACAUCAGAUGAUAGGAAUUUUCAAUAAUGUCCUCAUCAGAAAGGUCAAUCAAAGUUAUUUCCCUACUGUUUUCAAAGGAGGUAAAACUUUUCAAUUAAGAGUUGUUGAGUAGUAUUAAAGAGAGAAGACUUUGCCCUCAGCAAUUUUUUAAGUGAAAAAACACAAAUCAUUUUAUCUUAAUUCAUCACUGUAUACAAGAACCAGGACUUAAAAAAAUAAUAAUAAUAACAAGGCUAAGAUUUUGCUAUAAGCCUCCAGGCAUAGGUAAUAUUUCUCUACUCACAUGGCUUCUGUCAUCUUGUAAGCAGAAAAGUAGGAGUCCUACUAAAGCCUGCCUCUGUGCAGUUUGAUUAUUAAACAUAAUUCUGAGUCACAGAGUUCUCACAGCUUCUGUGAAAGCUACAGGAAAAGAUGCAAUUCAAACAAAAUGUUCCAUAUAAAUUCAGGCAGACCAUGAGCAUAAUGGACCUAUGUGAAUAAACCCUCGAAUCACAAAAUUUCACCAUGAAUAUAGAGAGUUGAUGGCUUUACUGUUUCUAGUUGAAGGAUUCCACAAAGUAUCUGAUUUCUGGUAUAUUUAGGGAAUUGGCCUCAUGGUAUGUUAUAGGAGCCACAAAUGCCCCAUGGUGGGGGGAAGGGAGGGGAAGUCCCAUGCAUAAUAGAGAGUGUUUACAGGCUGAUAUGGCUAGAAUUUGGAUGGUUUGGACAUUUCCGAGUGACCUCAAAAGAGAGUUGCUGGGGAUCACUGUGUUAAUGAACAGAUAAAGUGCUCAUCCAGACACAGUGGAAUCAGAACGCAAGGAACUUUUAUGAGGAAAAUAUCUCAGAGGUGGACAGAAUGACAAUAGUAUAUAUUAUAGCACAAUUACAUUUAGAAGGAAGUAGAACCAAUUUCCUCACAUUUGUGUAGAACAUAACAUGGAGCUUUAAAUGUGGCAGGAAACAAAUAAAAAUCUUAGCAUACACAAGAUCUUUAAGAUGAGCAGUUAGAGAAAUCACUCCUUGGCCACAUAACAAAAGCUGUGGUGUCAUUUGGACAUCAGAAGUCUCAAUAAUAAAUUACCAUAGGGACCAGAUUAGGGAACAUGGAAUUUGCUAAAUUACUAUGUUGGCUCAUUUGCAAUAUCCAAUGGGACCUUCUAAAUAUCACAUAAAGAUAUGUGGGAAAAGAGCACAAGGUCUUAAUUACAAGUAAUCUAUGAAAUUAAAAUGUGAGAUUAUUUUGCCAUUAAAAAUGCUAAAGCAAUCUUGUUAAACAUAUGAAGCAUGGACAUUCUAACACACUGUUGAAAUGAAUAUAAAUUUAUCUUAUAUAAAAUAAUUGACUACUUUUAUAAAAACCCAAAAAAUAUUCUUUCAGUAAUUCCAGCGAAGGGAAUUUAUUCUAAUGAAAUAUUCACAGAACAAAUGAAGAUUUACAAAUAUGUUUACAAAAAUAUUAAUAAAACAUUUCACAGUAAAUAACCUAUAUAAGGAAAUUUGUUAAUAAGGAUGGCAUAGUUACAUAUGGAAUAUACACAACUAUUGUGAAUUAUAUUUGAUUUUGCCUGGUAUCUAUUAAUGUGGAAAACACAUAAUAUUAAACAGGAAGAGUAAAUUACUUGAAACAAAGAGCAAUAAUGAUCUUACUUUCUGAGGAAAAAGAGAAUCAAGUUUCUUAAUUCUUACUUUGAGAAGAUCAGUGUUGUUGGAAUAUCUAACAUUGAUAUUUGAGUUCAGAAAAAAGACAUUGGCAGGUUAGUAUAACAAGGUUCUCUUGAGUUAAGAGAUCAUCAUCAUGGAAUGCAUUAGUACCUGGGCCUUGAUUGCCAUGGAAGAUAUCUGGGUUUUGCCAAAUCAAGUCUUGGGCCAGAAUUAAUCUCAAAUAAGGUAACUUAACGAUGUGGACAUGCACUUGGGAGAGGUGUGUGUGUGUGUAUGUGUGUGAUCAAAUGGUAUUUCAUUGGGAAUCAAGAAUUAUGUUGGUAUAUAUUAUGGUAUAUGUAUUAUGGUUUAAAAUAACCCUGGAGAGAGAAAUUUUUUUCAUCCAAGAAACAAAUAUUGAAACUCUAGCAGCAAUGUCCAUUGUUACAUGAACACAUAAGGGAGAACACCAUAUAGAAAUUGCGUGUUUGCAGGAAUAAUAUUGCAUACUAGUAAAAGCAGCAACGGAAGCAGAGAAUUGAUUCUGAUUGCUAGAAGAUCAUACCUUCAAGUUUUACCCAUUGGACCAAAUGAAGCCACUGACUUCUUGGACUCAUGUCAGACUGCUGCUCUACUUAAGAAGAGAGGAAGAAGAAUUUUCAAUACCAAAAAAUAGGGAGGAAAAGUCACAUAUGAUAUGUGCUGACUACAAUUCCUGUUUCCAUCUCCUCAUCUCUCAUUAACUCUCAGUGCCCUCCAGUCUGCCAUCUAGCCCACCACAGCACCAGAUAACUCCAGAUGAUUCUCCACAAAGCAUCCAGACAAUCCUUUCAAAAUAUGGAGCUGCACAGCCAUCUUGUAAACCUGCAGGAAAUCACUCACUAUGGAUGACAGAGCAGAAAGACAGAAGCAGCUUCGGUCUUCAUUGAUUGCACAGAGCUACUAGGCUAACGGUCAACUGCUUACCUUUGGGGUUCUUUUAUAUGAAAGAAUAAAUCAUGUUGUGUUUCAUCAAUGUAGUGUGGUGUCUAUUAUAAUAGCAAAAUGUAACUGCUACAGUAAUUUUUUGGAAGUAACAAAUUAAGGUUAAUGUCAUUAGACAAAGAUUGCAAAACUCAAAGGCAUAAGGACCAAAUUCAGUUAUGAAUAGUUAUCAGUAUAUGCCUUCUCUUCUCAGAGCUUUCCUCUCUGUAAGUCUAGCUCCAGCUUGAAAAAGGAAUUUGCUUUAAAGAAGGUUACAUGCACUAAGAUAAUAUCAUAUAUAUUUUUAGGAACAAAUAUAAAUUACUUGCUAAAAAACUGUAAGAAACCAACAAGACUAAAGAACACAUGUCAAUCAGAGAUAAGGAAUCACUUGCAUCUAAAGGUUAAAGUAUUUAAACCCUAAGAUUUGGGAACACCCUGCUGAUACUGGUAUACUCCCUUGGCAUUUAUCUUGUCAUUUAAAAUGUUCACAGCUAGCAAUAUAUUGGGUUUAUUCUUCUUGCUCUAUAGGAGAUGGAAGCCAGUGAAGGGACUGGAGAGAGAGGUAGCGGGGCACUAACCCUCUCUGAUGGCAUACAUGGUGUUUUGGGACCCAGAUAUAGAAAUAAAUGCAUAUAAGUAUAUAAAUAAUUUUUUAAAUGUGCCAAUAUACUAUGACAUAAAAAUAGAGACAGAAACAGCUUCACUUUAAGCAGAUAAUUAAUGUUCACCCUUCGCAUUAAGAAUGGUGUUUUACAACAUUGAAAUGUGAGAAUUUAAUUCUCCAUUUCCUGCUGUUUCAUCACCUUUCUUCUUCCUCCCCUUCUGCUAUGACUCCUCCCCACUCACCACAUACACACACCUCCUGGAGGGUUAGCACCAAUCUGAAAGUUCUGUUUCCUGGUAUUCAGUGUCCUUUUUGCAAAAGUUGAAAUCUUGAAAAAAAGAUGAAUCUAUAAAACUAUAUCAGCUAAAACAACUUAUACAGGUACAUUUUAAAACUCAGAUAAAAUACUCCUGAUCUUAAAAAUCAACGUUAGGGGCACCUGGGUGCCUCAGUCAGAAGGGCAGGAAGCUCUUUUUUUUUUUUUUUAAUGUUUAUUUAUUUUUGAGAGACAGGGAGAGACAGAGCGUGAGCAGGAGAGGGGCAGAGAGAGGGAGACACAGAAUCCCAAGCAGGCUCCAGGCUCUGAGCUGUCAGCACAGAGCCCAACUCGGGACUGGAACGCAGGAACCAUGUGAUCAUUACCUGAGCCAAAG